AUUUAUAUAGUUUAAACAAAACAUUACACUUUCACUGUAAAGACAAAAGAAAAUUUUUAUAAAUA
rnacentral:tRNA from 1 species